UACGUAGGGUGCAAGCGUUAAUCGGAAUUACUGGGCGUAAAGCGUGCGCAGGCGGUUUUGUAAGUCUGUCGUGAAAGCCCCGGGCUUAACCUGGGAAUUGCGAUGGAGACUGCAAGGCUUGAAUCUGGCAGAGGGGGGUAGAAUUCCACGUGUAGCAGUGAAAUGCGUAGAGAUGUGGAGGAAUACCGAUGGCGAAGGCAGCCUCCUGGGAUAACACUGACGCUCAUGCACGAAAGCGUGGGGAGCAAACAGG
rnacentral:rRNA from 1 species